AACAGGAUUAGAUACCCUGGUAGUCCAUGCCGUAAACGAUGAGUGCUAGGUGUUGGAGGGUUUCCGCCCUUCAGUGCCGGAGCUAACGCAUUAAGCACUCCGCCUGGGGAGUACGACCGCAAGGUUGAAACUCAAAGGAAUUGACGGGGGCCCGCACAAGCGGUGGAGCAUGUGGUUUAAUUCGAAGCUACGCGAAGAACCUUACCAGGUCUUGACAUCUUGCGCUAACCUAAGAGAUUAGGCGUUCCCUUCGGGGACGCAAUGACAGGUGGUGCAUGGUCGUCGUCAGCUCGUGUCGUGAGAUGUUGGGUUAAGUCCCGCAACGAGCGCAACCCUUGUUACUAGUUGCCAGCAUUCAGUUGGGCACUCUAGUGGGACUGCCGGUGACAAACCGGAGGAAGGUGGGGACGACGUCAGAUCAUCAUGCCCCUUAUGACCUGGGCUACACACGUGCUACAAUGGUCGGUACAACGAGUCGCUAACCCGCGAGGGCAAGCUAAUCUCUUAAAGCCGAUCUCAGUUCGGACUGUAGGCUGCAACUCGCCUACACGAAGUCGGAAUCGCUAGUAAUCGCGGAUCAGCAUGCCGCGGUGAAUACGUUCCCGGGCCUUGUACACACCGCCCGUCACACCAUGGAAGUUUGUAACGCCCAAAGUCGGUGGCCUAACCAUUUGGAGGGAGCCGCCUAAGGCGGGACAGAUGACUGGGGUGAAGUCGUAACAAGGUAACC
rnacentral:rRNA from 1 species